GCGGGCGUGGUGGAAUUUGGCAGACACGAUGGCUUUAGGUGCCAUUGUCCGAAAGGACGUGGGGGUUCGAGUCCCCCCGCCCGCACCA
rnacentral:tRNA from 1 species